rnacentral:tRNA from 1 species
GGGCGUGUGGUCUAGUGGUAUGAUUCUCGCUUUGGGUGCGAGAGGCCCUGAGUUCAAUUCCCAGCUCUCUCC